GACGUCGAUAUUCGACGUCAUAAACACGAUCAACUUUGAUGUUUAUGACGUCGAUAUUCGACGUCAUAAACACGAACAACUUUAGUGUUUAUGACGUCGAUAUUCGACGUCAUAAACACGAACAACUUUGGUAUUUAUGACGUCGAUAUUCGACGUCAUAAACACGAACAACUUUGGUGUUUAUGACGUCGAUAUUCGACGUCAUAAACACGAUCAACUUUGGUGUUUGUGACGUCGAUAUUCGACGUC
rnacentral:miRNA from 1 species